CAGCCACAACUCCUCAGUCCUUCCCAGUCUUUGGAAGGCUAGGAGAGAAAAAGGCGUGGCUUGCAGGGUUUUCUUCUAGCUAGAGGAAAACAGGCUGUAGGCGCCCUUUUUUUAGCUACAAUCCCGAGAGCUCCCACGUGUCAGGGGUGCGCAGACGAUGCCGCCCGCCUCUCCGGGCCUGCGAGUGGGCUGGCGGAUACCGGAGUCCCUGAGGUCACCGGCGGAGAUGAUAAUUUGAUGUGAUAGAAGAUGUGCGAAAAUGAAAUCAUCAUUUAGUUUGGAAACAACCUCAGUGUCCAUCAAUAA
rnacentral:lncRNA from 1 species